GCGCGAGUGCUGGAAUUGGUAGACAGGCAUGGUUGAGGGCCAUGUGUCCUCCGGGCGUGGGGGUUCAAGUCCCCCCUCGCGCACCA
rnacentral:tRNA from 1 species